rnacentral:lncRNA from 7 species
AGGGUUUGGAUGCAAAUCUAAAAUAGCAAUUUCUAUAACAGUACUGCAGCCUGUAAACUCAUGCAGUCAGAGUAGUAUCUACAGUCCAGCCUCAGGUCUCCACAGGCCUUGCUGCUUUGCCACAUCACAUAGCAACGCUUCAGAUUCAGCUAUAACUUCUCAUCCAAGCACCUCUGCUGUCUUAACAGGGUGUGGGGGCACCAACGAUCUCUGCUAUAAGGUGCAGUGGACAACUACGGAGCCACAGGUAAACAUGAAGUCCCCAGUGCUUCAAAAUGUUCCAAAUAAACAGAACUGAAUCAAGGAGAGAGCUGGACAUAAAAGGGUGUUUCUCACCAAACUUAAAGCCAAAAGAAGAAAGUAGACCAAGAUGGACUGAAAUACAGUACAGUCUCUUAUUUACACAGUUGCAAUGUCACUACAGCAGGGGAGAUGGCUAAUACUUUGCUUUUCUUUGUUGCUUUCUCCGUUUUUCCACUUUACUUUUUUUUUUUUUUUUUUUUGACAGCUUGAGUCACUUGCUCUAGGGAAAAUUACAGAAUAAUACUGGGUAAAAUUUGGAAAGAAAUAAUGAUAGAUGCAUAUUUUCUCAUAAGCCAAAGGCAUUGUAUUUUGUGGGAAUUCCAUGCAACAUUCAUCAGUUUUAGAGCUUAUUUUGUAAUCUGUUGUAUAUUAAAUUUACAAUGGUGAAAAACUCUACGUUUUUUUGUGACUUUUAAUUGUGAUGCCCAGAGAUCAUGGGAUAAUAUAAUGCUAUUAAUAAGCAUCCUGUUAUACUUUUUAACAGGAAGAAAUGUGGGAAAAAAUGUAGUCAUAAAGUGCUAUUUGUUUAAUGG